rnacentral:ncRNA from 1 species
CGACCCCAGGUCAGGCGGGACUACCCGCUGAGUUUAAGCAUAUAAAUAAGCGGAGGAGAAGAAACUUACAAGGAUUCCCUAAGUAACGGCGGUCGAACCGGGAACAACCCAGCUUGAGAAUCGGGCGGCUCUAUCGUCCGAAUUGUAGCCUGGAGAGGCGUCCUCUGCGACAGACCGGGCCCAAGUCCCCUG